rnacentral:lncRNA from 1 species
AAAGCAAUUUAGAUAUCCUUCCUUAUACAGAAAAAAAUAUAAUAGACCGGAAUGAAGUACAUUUAUAAAUUUCUGUAUUGGUUUUUUAGGUGGCUGUGUUGGACAUUGAUAUUUGUGGUCCCUCCCAACCAAGAGUGUUAGGAGUCCAAGAUGAGAGUGUGCAUCAGUCAGGAUCUGGAUGGUCUCCUAUAUAUGUUGAAGACAAUUUGUCAGUAAUGUCAAUAGGGUUUUUAUUGGGAUCUCCUGAUGAUGCUGUGAUUUGGAGGGGACCGAA